rnacentral:lncRNA from 1 species
CCGCAGUAUUGUAAACUUUUCAUCUUGCUCCGUAGAUUAUCUUCAAUGUACGAAUGGUAUUUAAGAAGAAUUUGGAACCUAGAUCUGUGCCAGUGACCGUUAAAUACUUAGUUCGGGUGGUGUUUCAAAUUUGGGAAUUUUGUUUUUUCCUGAUACCCAUCAUAUGCCAUCUGACUUAUAUUAGAAUUUGAGCGUAUGACAAUGUGGACAUCUGCAAUUUAAUUAUUAGCGCUGUAAGUACUUUUC